rnacentral:lncRNA from 1 species
GAAAAAUGAGAUAUAAAAAGAAUGCAUAUUGACACAGCUAGUGUCUGAAAGAGAAAACUGCAUGAGUAAAUUUCAAUAGUGUAUUUGGUAACCGAACCUGAAAGUCCCUUUUAGAAAAAAAGUAACUAUUCUGGAUAUGCUUUUCACCUAGAGAAAACACCAAUAAUGAUCCAUGUGUCACAAGACCAAAGUCAAGGUACCAACAGGGCCAAGUUUAUUUAUGGAGGCUCUACAGGAGAAUCUACUUCCAAGCUCAUGCAUUUUGUUUUUUUGUUCUGGCAAGAUAUGAAGACAAUGAAGAAGCACUCCUUGCCAUCAGGUUGCUUUCAGUCUACAUCAUGGCAUACAGAAAAAAUAUAUGCUUUAUGGAGUAGCAGUCAUGAAGAAAAUAUUUUCCAGUAACUUUGGGUGAGGGAGAUGAAACUGUAACAUUGUGAACUAUGGACCCAGGAUAACAGACUAAAGUCAAAGAAAUAGAUUAAGAAGACUACGCUAAUCUAUAUUUAACAAUGAUUAUUAUUUAUAAAAUGCU